AACGAACGCUGGCGGCAGGCUUAACACAUGCAAGUCGAGCGCCCAGCAAGGGGAGCGGCAGACGGGUGAGUAACGCGUGGGAAUCUACCCAUCUCUACGGAAUAACGCAUGGAAACGUGUGCUAAUACCGUAUACGUCCUUCGGGAGAAAGAUUUAUCGGAGAUGGAUGAGCCCGCGUUGGAUUAGCUAGUUGGGGGGGUAAAGGCCUACCAAGGCGACGAUCCAUAGCUGGUCUGAGAGGAUGAGCAGCCACACUGGUACUGAGACACGGCCCGGACUCCUACGGGAGGGAGCAGUGGGGAAUAUUGGACAAUGGGCUCAAGCCUGAACCAGCCAUGCCGCGUGAGUGAUGAAGGCCCUAGGGUUGUACAGCGCUUUCACCGGUGAAGAUAAUGACGGUAACCGGAGAAGAAGCCCCGGCUAACUUCGUGCCAGCCGCCGCGGUAAAAC
rnacentral:rRNA from 1 species